UAAAGUAUAUUGAUAACAUUUAUAUAUAAAUACACGCCAGCUAUCACUUCAGAUAUCUUACUUCCAAUCUACAAACUACGUUCAGACACCAUGAAGGUUCUAUUAUUGAUAACUGUAGUAUUGACUUGCCUAGCCUCGCUGGCCGUCGGACAAUCGAAUGUGAACGCAUGUAUCGCGGCGUGUCCUCAAAACAUCGCUAUUGUUUGUGGAAGAGUUGGAAAAACUGUAUCUGCCUACCGGAAUCGUUGCUAUUUGCCUUGUUUCCACGCUACAUUUGUCGCCAAUUGGCCCUGCAAAGUAACUAAUGAUGCUGAUGUUAAUUCAGUAACACUAUCCGGUGAAAACUCUGGUUCUGUCAACACCAACCAAUAGUAACACUCGACUUAACAGAUUAUGCCUGAAGGCUGAAAAUCAAAUAAAAGAUUUAUAUUAAAUA